rnacentral:lncRNA from 1 species
CAGCUGCGCAGGCGAACGUGCCCAAGGUGACAUUGAUCGCCCGUGGUUUUCCGGCUUUGGUCGGUGCGUGGGAAAGGCAGAGUGUUGUCUGCAGGGUGCAGACUGGAAGUGGGAGCUCAGAGCGCCUGGCAAAGAGUCUGGGGCUUUUCGGGACAGAGUCUUCCCUGGGGUCCACUCGGCCGCCCCGAGGGGUUGAGGAGGGUGGGGGGGGGGGGUAAAAAGGCAGAGGGCACAGCAGCCUCCAGCCCGAGGCGGCCGACCGUCUGGGAGGGAAGAAGCAGCUAUGUCACUCAGCUUUGUGAUCCAGCACUUUCCCUUCCAGGGGCUGCGGCUCUGGCACCUGUGUCUGCUGAGGUGAAAGGCAGAAAGGCUGGCCUGUGACUGUCACCAACUCUGAGGGGGUGGCCCUUUCCAAGCUUGGAGCCUUCUGUCCACUUUUGAGGAGAAAUCUUCAGGAAGCUAGAAAGAAGCUGGAUGCCUUGGGCAAGACUUUUUAACCACUUGCUAAAAAACGCAGGAAAAUAUGUGGUGCAUGCCUCAGUGCAACCCAGCCCUUCAGAGCUAUUUCCCUCCGGAGGGGUCACCAGGGACUCCCGAUCGUCUGGAUGAGCGCUGGUGUCCACGCAGGGACCAGUGCUGCGUGAAGACGCGCUCCAUUCCCGUCCAGGACGACAGCUACUGGAAUGGAUUUCCAUGCUUGAAACUAUGUUCUGUGAGGGUGGAGGCAUUCUCAUCUUGUUUCUUCUUUUAGCCCCAGUACUUAACUAUUUCCAGCAAUAACUGGUGACCACGAACUGUCUGUCGAUGUAGUGAACAAAUGUCAGCACAGCGUCUAGCGUGGAGGGCGUGGAAUCUGCUUUUUGCCCGGAGUCUAAGGGGCAAUGUGCGUUUCUCCAUCCAACAGGCUUCACGUGGCAAAGAGUGAACUGCUUCCGUUUCCAGCGCAAAGGUGAGCUGGCUCACCUGGAGCCAUCAGCUGCCCGCUUAGGAGCAGAGGAGGGAAAGACUCUUGGAAUUGGCCCUGAAGUGAGGACUUGUAAGAAUCCUGAGAGGAUUGCACAUGGAUGCUCUGGCUUAGCCUGUUUCUGUCAGUCCCCAUCUGGGGAGAGAAGAGAGGGAGCCAGACUGUGACAGACCCCAAGGGAAGCUGUGGGAGGGCACUUGGGCUGAUGGGGGAGAGGGGAGGUAUUGAUGAGGCCCCCUUUCUAAGGAGGGGCUGAGACAUGUUCCUGGGGACUUUCACUCCUUCUCAAAGGCAUGUGGCGGCUCUGACGACGGUGAUAUCAGCCAACAAAGGCUGAGUCUUGUAGAAAUGUCACAAGUGGUACCAGCUUUACCUUCCGGUCACUGUUCCAGAAAGGCUGGCUGCUGGAGCAGAACAGAAGUCCUCUGGGCUCAGCAGGUAGUUGAAGGAACAUGAACUUGGGUUUGUGAAGGUCCAGGGGUGGGUACUUCUCUGGUCAGUGGGCAAUGAUGCCAAGACAGAGGGAGCUUGAAACUCUUCUUUGAAGAGCUGGAAGAUCUUAAUUCCACCUCUGUGUCUUUCCAGUCACAUAAUUCUCGACCUGUAUUUUUUAUCUGGCUUCUUUCUCUUAAGCUUAAAGGCUAUUACUCUCAUUUUUAGGUGUUUAUCACUUUCUGAAUCUUAACCCUUCUUCUGGCCUAAUUACACACUCUCCUUUUGGCAAAAUCUCUUAGUUUUGUUUAUCUAAAAAAUGUCUUCCUUCUACCCUAUUCUUGAAAGGUAUUUCCCUGGAAAUUCUAGUGUGGCAUGUAGCUUAGCGGAUUGAAGUUGUUUGCGUGUGGUUAUUUGUUUUUUUAAAUUUUCUGUCUCCUUCUUACAGUUCACCAUGCCAUGCUCAAAUACGGGUUUACUUUUGUUGAUUUCUUACUGUCUUAUACGCUCCUUUGAUCCUUUUAGGGACAUUUCUUCCCCCUAUCUUAUUCAAGAUUCCUUAAUGUUUUCAGCAGUGUUGGUAUGACUAGCUGAACGUACUUUUUUUAUUAGAAAGGUACAGUUACUCUUUUGCCAUUCACUCUUAAUUAUCCAAAUGAUUUGGAAUAGGUGAUUUAUCUCUUUAGCCAACAAAGACUCAAAUCUAUUCCAGAAAGAGCUGAUCUAUUUUUUUAGAACAAUGUUGUGCUAUGUUAAAGGAGAUUUCAUGCGUAAAUAACAGUAAACAAAACAUCCUCCCGCGGGAUUGAAAAGUUCUUUAGGAUCCUGAAAUCUUCCUGGGUCAUCACACAUGUCAGAGAUGACUGGUUAGGAGUUCCCGUGGUGGCUCAGCAGAGAAGAAUCCAACUAGGACCCAUGAAGUUUCGGGUUCGAUCCCUGACCUCCCUCAGUGGGUUAAGGAUCUGGCGUUGUGGUGAGCUGUGGGGAAACAUUAUAAGCCACUUAACCUUGUGGUGAAGUUGGUUUAGUUAAAAGAAGAUGAAGUGAUGCCUAAAUGCACUUAUCCAGGCGAACUGAACUACCCUCCCUAACAAGAUAUUGGAAAAGAACAAGUGCCUAAGAGGCCCAGGUCAACUCCUUGAGCUGCGCAACCACCAUGUUUCUUCCAGGAAACCACCAUUCUCACCUGAUGUGCAAAUUCUCGAGAUUGGCCCGAGCAGAGUUCUUUGGACUCGGAUCACAGGGAAGAAAAGGCCCCAUAUGAGGUCAAAGGCACAGCCCUCCAUGAUGGCGGUUAUACACUGUCAACUCCAAGAGCAGCCGUUUCUCGCCGAUGAGGAGAGGACGGAGAUCUGGCUGAAAAAUGCCAGAACACUGUCCUGGACCCCAAGUGUAUGAACGCGACUCAUAUAUCAAAGGUCACAUGGACAUGGAAAGACCUGUUUCCUUGACCCUGCUUCUCCUGACUCUGGUGAAGAUCCCUGGUUGUGGAGUUCCCAUCAUGGCUUAUCGGUAACAAACCCGAUUAGUAUCCAUGAGGAUGCAGGAUCUGGCCUUGCUCAAUGGGCUAAGGAUCUGGCAUUGCCGGGAGCUGUGGUGUAGGUCGCGGACGCAGCUCGGAUCCCCCGUGGCUGUGGCUGUGGCUGUGGCUGUGGCUGUGGCUGUGGCUGUGGCCAGCAGCAGCAGCUCCGAUGCAACCCCUAGUCUGGGAACUUCCAUAUGCUGUGAGCACAGCCCUAAAAAGACAAGAAAAUAGAAAGACUCCUGGUUGAAUUGGACACCUGUGUGCCAGCUUCGAUGGCCAGUGAAGCCACAGGGACAGAGGACAUUUCCUGGGGACCUGCACCCAGCCUGGCAGGUCCCCGAUCCCUCCUGAGAGGGAGCAGCCAGGCCUCAGACCCCCGCCCCGCUCUCAAAGUCUCUUUGUAAGAUCUCUUCCUAGCUCUGCCUGCUCUGUUGUUUGUUUUUAUUUCACUUCCUUUUCUUCCCUGUUUCUAACCCAGUCGUCUCUUUUUCUAAUUAUUCUCAACAUGUGUAACUCACAUACACUGGAGGAGAGAGAGAUCCUUACGAAUUAAAACCAUGUUGCCUGGAAUUUCACAUAAGCUGCAUUCAUGGUUGGGGAAGGAUUUCCGUCAUCGCUCUUCAAACCCACGCAGUUUUCCAGAUGAAGCCAUGGAAGAUGAGAGCAUUAAAGAACCUGUCCAAAGCAGAGCAGAGCCUGCAUGUGAAGCCACGUGGUCUGACUGCAAGGUCUGUGCAUUUACUAUAUCACGGAUCAGUAACUGUGAAGCUCUAUUUUAUACGUUAAGGGACAUGGCCAGAAUGCUAUUUAUUUAGUGGUAAACAUGUGGGUUUUGUUAGCAAUCCAACCAGGGCUCAAAUUCUGCUUUUCCCACUCAUAUAUUUCCUUGGGCAAGUCAAGUCAUGUCUCUGUCUGAGUUUCCUAAUCUGUGAAAUGCUGAUGGUUGUCUUCGUAAAACUCCUUGCCAGGUGUUUGGCCCAAUUAGUACUCAAUAAACAUUAUGUGCUUUC